AACGAACGCUGGCGGCAUGCCUAACACAUGCAAGUCGAACGAGCCCUUCGGGUCUUGUGGCGCACGGGCGCGUAACGCGUGGGAACAUGCCUUUAGGUUCGGGAUAUCUCAGAGAAAUUUGAGCUAAUAUCGGAUGAUCUCUUCGGACCAAAGAUUUUUCGCCUGUGGAUGGGCCCGCGUUUGAUUAGCUAGUUGGUGAGGUAAAGGCCUACCAAGGCGACGAUCCAUAGCUGGUCUGAGAGGAUGAUCAGCCACACUGGGACUGAGACACGGCCCAGACUCCUACGGGAGGCAGCAGUGGGGAAUAUUGGACAAUGGGCGAAAGCCUGAUCCAGCAAUGCCGCGUGAGUGAUGAAGGCCUUAGGGUUGUAAAGCUCUUUUACCCGAGAUGAUAAUGACAGUAUCGGGAGAAUAAGCUCCGGCUAACUCCGUG
rnacentral:rRNA from 1 species